CCUACGGGGGGCAGCAGUGGGGAAUAUUGGGCAAUGGGGGCAAGUCUUACCCAGCAAUGCCGCGUGAAUGAAGAAGGUCUUCGGGUUGUAAACUUCUUUACUUAGGGACGAAAAAAGUGACGGUACCCAAGGAAUAAGCCCCGGCUAACUACGUGCCAGCAGCCGCGGUAAUACGUAGGGGGCAAGCGUUGUUCGGAAUGAUUGGGUGUAAAGGGUGUGUAGGCGGGGUAGCAAGUUAGAAGUGAAAUACCUAGGGCUCAACCCAGGUGCUGCUUGUAAACCUGCGUUACUUGAGUGCAGGAGAGGAAAGUGGAAUUCCGAGUGUAGCGGUGGAAUGCGUAGAUAUAAGGAGGAACACCAGUGGCGAAGGCGACUUUCUGGACUGUAACUGACGCUGAGGCACGAAAGUGUGGGGAGCAAACAGGAUUAGAUACCCUAGUAGUC
rnacentral:rRNA from 1 species